AUUGAACGCUGGCGGCAGGCCUAACACAUGCAAGUCGAGCGGAUGAAGGGAGCUUGCUCCUGGAUUCAGCGGCGGACGGGUGAGUAAUGCCUAGGAAUCUGCCUGGUAGUGGGGGAUAACGUCCGGAAACGGGCGCUAAUACCGCAUACGUCCUGAGGGAGAAAGUGGGGGAUCUUCGGACCUCACCCUAUCAGAUGAGCCUAGGUCGGAUUAGCUAGUUGGUGGGGUAAAGGCCUACCAAGGCGACGAUCCGUAACUGGUCUGAGAGGAUGAUCAGUCACACUGGAACUGAGACACGGUCCAGACUCCUACGGGAGGCAGCAGUGGGGAAUAUUGGACAAUGGGCGAAAGCCUGAUCCAGCCAUGCCGCGUGUGUGAAGAAGGUCUUCGGAUUGUAAAGCACUUUAAGUUGGGAGGAAGGGCAGUAAGUUAAUACCUUGCUGUUUUGACGUUACCAACAGAAUAAGCACCGGCUAACUUCGUG
rnacentral:rRNA from 1 species